GGACAGAAGACUAUUUGACUGAGCUCACCAACUGCAGAUUAGGGCACAGAAGCUGGCGAAAAAAUUUUUUCUCUCACUUACUCAACUCUAGGGACUCGAAACUUUCUCAGCCCUUGGACAAAUACAGUUUCCGCUUUAAAAAAAAACAGGCGAAUGAAAAAGACUAACACAGUCCAGACCACCCCAAUCAAAAACAAAUCAAAGCAUGGUUCAGCUAGCCUUGAAGCAACCCGACAGCAAGAUAAAACAGAAAAACAUGGAAUCCAGAAGCAUUUAAAACAAAACUAAGGACUGUACAUUGAACGCAAGCUAAUAAUUUUCACAUCAGCACAACAGAGUUUUACUUCUGGCCACUGAGAAGACCAGCUGAAGGGACUGACGGUUUACUGUCUUGGUCAAGAGUACGUCAACAGUACGGUUCACACAAGGCCAAUGUUUCGCCAGCUGUUUUAUUUUCUGAAAAACUUAAGACAAAAGACAAAAUUUCAGUGGGAAACAGGAAGAGAAACUGCAUAACCAAUGUACUGCAUGAGCCUGUGAAGCCAACGUUGCUGAGUCAAUGCACCUCCUCUCAUGAAGCACAGCUCCCCACUCUAUCUUUCUACUAAACACACUGUGAAUCAUGCCAUUGAGCCUGAGCUGACCCUUAUUUAAUGAACUGGACAGGGUGGGCACCUGGACCUCCAACUGUAAGCGGACACAAUCACUUUCUGAGUCAUGGACUCUGCCCUAGUUGUCAUGGCACCUGGCAUGGCAUUUUGUUUAUGAAUUAGACAUCACAUGCUUAAACUAAUUAAUGACAUCAUUUCUAAUACUCUGAAAACUUGAGUGUUGAAAGACAGAACUGAGGCUUAGAUAAACCUGUCACUUAUGGUUUGAUACUGUUUGAUAAGAAUGGAAUGAAAAGCUGUAAUGUGAUCUGACAGAAGUGUGUGAUAAUUCCUGACUGUGUCAAAGGGUAGGCCAACAGCGAAUUCAAUUUACUGUUACUCCACUGUGGACUCUGAACAUGCUUACUAUGCCUGCAA